rnacentral:rRNA from 1 species
ACGGGUUGUCUGCUGGCUCGAAAGAGCAUGUGCACGCCUGGCUCAUCCACUCUCAACUUCUGUGCACUUUUCGUAGGCCGGCUUGUGGGUGCCGCGUUCGCGCGCACUUGUAGGUCUGGCUUAUGCUCUACCACAAACGAUUCAGUUAUAGAAUGUCUUUACUUUGCGAUAACGCAAUUAUAUACAACUUUCAGCAACGGAUCUCUUGGCUCUCGCAUCGAUGAAGAACGCAGCGAAAUGCGAUAAGUAAUGUGAAUUGCAGAAUUCAGUGAAUCAUCGAAUCUUUGAACGCACCUUGCGCUCCUUGGUAUUCCGAGGAGCAUGCCUGUUUGAGUCUCGUGGAAUUCUCAACCUUCGACUUUGUUGUCGAGGGCUUGGACUUGGAGGUCGUGCCGGCUCUCGUAGUCGGCUCCUCUGAAAUGCAUCAGUGCGAACGUUACCAGCCGCUUCAGCGUGAUAAUUAUCUGCGCUGCUGUGGAGGGUAUGUCAGUGUUCAUGCUUCGAACCGUCUUCGGACAACAUUUCAUCUCUGAGCUCAAAUCAGGUAGGACUACCCGCUGAACUUAAGCAUAUCAAUAAGCGGAGGAAAAGAAACUAACAAGGAUUCCCCUAGUAACUGCGAGUGAAGCGGGAAAAGCUCAAAUUUAAAAUCUGGCGGUCUUUGGCCGUCCGAGUUGUAAUCUGGAGAAGCGUCUUCCGCGCUGGACCGUGUACAAGUCUCUUGGAACAGAGCGUCAUAGAGGGUGAGAAUCCCGUCUUUGACACGGACUACCAGUGCUAUGUGAUGCGCUCUCGAUGAGUCGAGUUGUUUGGGAAUGCAGCUCAAAAUGGGUGGUAAAUUCCAUCUAAAGCUAAAUAUUGGCGAGAGACCGAUAGCGAACAAGUACCGUGAGGGAAAGAUGAAAAGCACUUUGGAAAGAGAGUUAAACAGUACGUGAAAUUGCUGAAAGGGAAACGCUUGAAGUCAGUCGCGUGUGCUAGAACUCAGCCUUGCUUCUGCUUGGUGCAUUUUCUAGUGUACGGGCCAGCAUCAGUUUUGGCUGCCGGAUAAAGGCCUUGGGAAUGUGGCACCUUCGGGUGUGUUAUAGCCCUCGGUUGUAUACGGUGGGUGGGACUGAGGAUCUCAGCAC